rnacentral:rRNA from 1 species
CCCUUAGAUGUUCUGGGCCGCACGCGCGCUACACUGAUGAAAGCAACAAGUCUAUAACCUUGGUCGAAAGGCCUGGGUAAUCUUGCAAAUUUCAUCGUGAUGGGGAUAGAUUAUUGCAACUAUUAAUCUUCAACGAGGAAUUCCUAGUAAGCGUGAGUCAUCAGCUCGCGUUGAUUACGUCCCUGCCCUUUGUACACACCGCCCGUCGCUCCUACCGAUUGAAUGGUCCGGUGAAAUCUUCGGAUUGUGCGCAGCGAAGGUUCGCUGGAGCUGUGCGUGAGAAGUUGAUUAAACCUUAUCAUUUAGAGGAAGGAGAAGUCGUAACA